CUUCUUAUAGCCUAGGCCAUCUUUAUAUAUAAUUCUUUUUUUUUUUCAGAUCCUCAGAGAGUUCUUUGCCAUGAGGUGCCAUUGAACUUCCAGUGACCAGUAUGUGAGAGUGUGAUAGUGAUAACACCAAAUUUAACACACCUGCUCCCCAUUCACACCUGAGAUCUUGCAACACUAACGAGUCACAUGACAACGGGGAGGGAAAUGGCUAAUUGGGCCCAAUUUGGACAUUUUCACUUAGGGGUGUACUCAUUUUUGUUGCCAACUGUUUAGACAUUAAUGGCUGUGUGUUGAGUUAUUUUGAGGGGACAGCAAAUUUACACUGUUAUACAGGCUGUACACUU